rnacentral:ncRNA from 2 species
AUCGUUCAUCUCUCUUAGCCCAAUAAAAAUGUCGCUAACAGGGAGACGGAAGUAGGGACAAACCCCGAAGGAACGCGCC